rnacentral:rRNA from 1 species
UACAGAGGGGGCAAGCGUUGUCCGGAAUCACUGGGCGUAAAGGGCGCGUAGGCGGCUUGAUAAGCGUGCGGUGAAAGCCCGGGGCUCAACCCCGGGUCGGCCGUGCGAACUGUCGAGCUGGAGCACUGUAGAGGCAGGUGGAAUUCCGGGUGUAGCGGUGGAAUGCGUAGAGAUCCGGAAGAACACCGGUGGCGAAGGCGGAUCUCUGGGCCUUACCUGACGCUCAGGCGCGAAAGCUAGGGGAGCGAACUGG